GACGAACGCUGGCGGCGUGCUUAACACAUGCAAGUCGUACGGUAAGGCCCUUUCGGGGGUACACGAGUGGCGAACGGGUGAGUAACACGUGAGUAACCUGCCCACAACUUUGGGAUAACGCUAGGAAACUGGUGCUAAUACUGGAUAUGUGCUCCUGCUGCAUGGUGGGGGUUGGAAAGCUCCGGCGGUUGUGGAUGGACUCGCGGCCUAUCAGCUUGUUGGUGGGGUAGUGGCCUACCAAGGCGGCGACGGGUAGCCGGCCUGAGAGGGUGACCGGCCACAUUGGGACUGAGAUACGGCCCAGACUCCUACGGGAGGCAGCAGUGGGGAAUAUUGCACAAUGGGCGCAAGCCUGAGGCAGCAACGCCGCGUGCGGGAUGACGGCCUUCGGGUUGUAAACCGCUUUCAGCAGGGACGAAGCUUUUUGUGACGGUACCUGCAGAAGAAGCACCGGCUAACUACGUG
rnacentral:rRNA from 1 species